UUUUUGUUUUAUUGUUUUGUUUUUUGAGACAGAGUUUCGCUCUUGUUGCCCAGGCUGGAGUGCAAUGCCACGAUCUCGGCCCACUGCAACUUCCACCCCCCAUGUUCAAACAAUUCUCCUGCCCCAGCCUCCCAAGUAGCUGGGAUUACAGGCCUGCGCCACUACACCUGGCUAAUUUUUGUACUUUUAGCAGAGACGGGGUUUCACCAUGUUGGCCAGGCUGGUCUUGAACUCCUGACCUCAGGUGAUUGCCUGCCUUGGCCUCUCAAAGUACUACGAUUACAGGCAUGAGCCACUGCACCCGGCCAAUAUCAUGUUUUAAUCAGGGAACUCUUAGCUCUAGUUCAAGAAGUGCAAACCUGAUAAUGUACUGAAAAUGAUGUAGCUGAAGGGACACAUUGUUCUUCUAUAUUGGCCUCAAAAAGGUAGGAGGUUCUCUAAAUGGACUUCUGUUAUCUACACAGAGAUCCAUGGCAUCUGUCAUCCAUGGAAGAUCUAAAUCUUAACUGCAUUUUCUAUAUCCGUGGUUCUCAAACUGUGGUCCCUAAGACCUACAGCAUCAGUGGAGGACUGAUUAGAAAUGCAAAACUAGGGCUCCCACUCCAGACCUACAGAAUCAGAAACUCUGGAUGGGGACCCAGCAAUCUAUUUUAACACAUUUUCCAGGUGAUUCUAAUGCACAGUAAAGUUUGAGCACCACUUUUUUUUGUCCUUUGCCAAAAGGGAGGAGCCUGGAGGAAAACUCAGGGACAGGCCCAGUGGUUGUUAUACAAAAAUUGGACUUUCCCAAGAGGGGAUGUAAUGCCAUGAGGUAGGGGAUAGCAUGAAGUCUCUCCAAAGAAUGAGAAUGACACUCCCUGACUAGGAC
rnacentral:lncRNA from 1 species